UACGAAGGGGGCUAGCGUUGCUCGGAAUUACUGGGCGUAAAGGGCGCGUAGGCGGCACACACAGUCAGGCGUGAAAUUCCUGGGCUCAACCUGGGGGCUGCGCUUGAGACGGGUUGUCUAGAGUGGGGAAGAGGGCCGUGGAAUUCCCAGUGUAGAGGUGAAAUUCGUAGAUAUUGGGAAGAACACCGGUGGCGAAGGCGGCGGCCUGGUCCUUUUACUGACGCUGAGGCGCGAAAGCGUGGGGAGCAAACAGG
rnacentral:rRNA from 1 species